rnacentral:rRNA from 1 species
UACGGAGGAUCCGAGCGUUAUCCGGAUUUAUUGGGUUUAAAGGGUGCGCAGGCGGGAGAUUAAGUCGGCGGUGAAAUUUUGCAGCUCAACUGUAAAAGUGCCUUCGAAACUGGUUUCCCUGAGUGUAGAUGAAGUAGGCGGAAUUUGUGGUGUAGCGGUGAAAUGCAUAGAUAUCACGAGGAACUCCGAUUGCGCAGGCAGCUUACUAAACUACUACUGACGCUCAGGCACGAAGGCGUGGGGAUCAAACAGGAUUAGAUACCCCCGUAGUCCCU